rnacentral:rRNA from 1 species
UACAGGGGGGGCAAGCGUUGUUCGGAAUUACUGGGCGUAAAGGGCUUGUAGGUGGCCAACUAAGUCACACGUGAAAUCCCCAGGCUUAACCUGGGAACUGCGUGUGAUACUGGAUGGCUUGAAUCCGGGAGAGGGAUGCGGAAUUCCAGGUGUAGCGGUGAAAUGCGUAGAUAUCAGGAGGAACACCGGUGGCGAAGGCGGGUCUCUGGGCCGUAACUGACGCUGAGGAGCGAAAGCAUGGGGAGCGAACAGG